GGUGAACGCUGGCGGCGUGCCUAAUACAUGCAAGUCGAGCGAACAGAUAAGGAGCUUGCUCCUUUGACGUUAGCGGCGGACGGGUGAGUAACACGUGGGUAACCUACCUAUAAGACUGGGAUAACUUCGGGAAACCGGAGCUAAUACCGGAUAACAUUUGGAACCGCAUGGUUCUAAAGUGAAAGAUGGUUUUGCUAUCACUUAUAGAUGGACCCGCGCCGUAUUAGCUAGUUGGUAAGGUAACGGCUUACCAAGGCGACGAUACGUAGCCGACCUGAGAGGGUGAUCGGCCACACUGGAACUGAGACACGGUCCAGACUCCUACGGGAGGCAGCAGUAGGGAAUCUUCCGCAAUGGGCGAAAGCCUGACGGAGCAACGCCGCGUGAGUGAUGAAGGGUUUCGGCUCGUAAAACUCUGUUAUUAGGGAAGAACAAAUGUGUAAGUAACUGUGCACAUCUUGACGGUACCUAAUUAGAAAGCCACGGCUAACUACGUGCCAGCAGCCGCGGUAAUACGUAGGUGGCAAGCGUUAUCCGGAAUUAUUGGGCGUAAAGCGCGCGUAGGCGGUUUCUUAAGUCUGAUGUGAAAGCCCACGGCUCAACCGUGGAGGGUCAUUGGAAACUGGGAAACUUGAGUGCAGAAGAGGAAAGUGGAAUUCCAUGUGUAGCGGUGAAAUGCGCAGAGAUAUGGAGGAACACCAGUGGCGAAGGCGACUUUCUGGUCUGUAACUGACGCUGAUGUGCGAAAGCGUGGGGAUCAAACAGGAUUAGAUACCCUGGUAGUCCACGCCGUAAACGAUGAGUGCUAAGUGUUAGGGGGUUUCCGCCCCUUAGUGCUGCAGCUAACGCAUUAAGCACUCCGCCUGGGGAGUACGACCGCAAGGUUGAAACUCAAAGGAAUUGACGGGGACCCGCACAAGCGGUGGAGCAUGUGGUUUAAUUCGAAGCAACGCGAAGAACCUUACCAAAUCUUGACAUCCUUUGAAAACUCUAGAGAUAGAGCCUUCCCCUUCGGGGGACAAAGUGACAGGUGGUGCAUGGUUGUCGUCAGCUCGUGUCGUGAGAUGUUGGGUUAAGUCCCGCAACGAGCGCAACCCUUAAGCUUAGUUGCCAUCAUUAAGUUGGGCACUCUAGGUUGACUGCCGGUGACAAACCGGAGGAAGGUGGGGAUGACGUCAAAUCAUCAUGCCCCUUAUGAUUUGGGCUACACACGUGCUACAAUGGACAAUACAAAGGGCAGCUAAACCGCGAGGUCAUGCAAAUCCCAUAAAGUUGUUCUCAGUUCGGAUUGUAGUCUGCAACUCGACUACAUGAAGCUGGAAUCGCUAGUAAUCGUAGAUCAGCAUGCUACGGUGAAUACGUUCCCGGGUCU
rnacentral:rRNA from 1 species